rnacentral:rRNA from 1 species
UAGGGAAUCUUCCACAAUGGACGCAAGUCUGAUGGAGCAACGCCGCGUGAGUGAAGAAGGUUUUCGGACCGUAAAGCUCUGUUGUUGGUGAAGAAGGAUAGAGGUAGUAACUGGCCUUUAUUUGACGGUAAUCAACCAGAAAGUCACGGCUAACUACGUGCCAGCAGCCGCGGUAAUCGUAGGUGGCAAGCGUUGUCCGGAUUUAUUGGGCGUAAAGCGAGCGCAGGCGGAAGAAUAAGUCUGAUGUGAAAGCCCUCGGCUUAACCGAGGAAUUGCAUCGGAAACUGUUUUCUUGAGUGCAGAAGAGGAGAGUAGAACUCCAUGUGUAGCGGUGGAAUGCGUAGAUAUAUGGAAGAAUACCAGUGGCGAAGGCGGCUCUCUGGUCUGCAACUGACGCUGAGGCUCGAAAGCAUGGGUAGCGAACAGGAUUAGAUACCCUGGUAGUCCAUGCCGUAAACGAUGAGUGCUAAGUGUUGGGAGGCUUCCGCCUCACAGUGCUGCAGCUAACGCAUUAAGCACUCCGCCUGGGGGAGUACGACCGCAAGGUUGAAAC